CGAUGCUUCAUUCAAAUAUCUGCCCUAUCAACUUUCGAUGGUAGGAUAGAGGCUACCAUGGUUUCAACGGGUAACGGGGAAUAAGGGUUCGAUUCCGGAGAGGGAGCCUGAGAAACGGCUACCACAUCCAAGGAAGGCAGCAGGCGCGCAAUUACCCAAUCCCGACACGGGGAGGUAGUGACAAUAAAUAACAAUAUAGGGCUCUUUCGGGUCUUAUAAUUGGAAUGAGUACAAUUUAAAUCUCUUAACGAGGAACAAUUGGAGGGCAAGUCUGGUGCCAGCAGCCGCGGUAAUUCCAGCUCCAAUAGCGUAUAUUAAAGUUGUUGCAGUUAAAAAGCUCGUAGUUGAACCUCAGACCUGGUCGAGUGGUCCGCCUAACGGUGUGUACUGCUUGACUGGGCCUUACCUCUUGGUGAGCCGGCGUGCCCUUUAUUGGUGGUGCGUCGGGGAACCAGGACUUUUACCUUGAGGAAAAUUAGAGUGUUCAAAGCAGGCCUAUGCCCGAAUACAUUAGCAUGGAAUAAUAGA
rnacentral:rRNA from 1 species